UCCGGUUUGUCACCGGCAGUCUCACUAAAGUGCCCAACCAAAUGAUGGCAAUUAAUGACAAGGGUUGCGCUCGUUGCGGGACUUAACCCAACAUCUCACGACACGAGCUGACGACAGCCAUGCAGCACCUGUGUUCCGGUUCCCUUUCGGGCACCCCCAGCUCUCACCAGGAUUCCGGACAUGUCAAGGGUAGGUAAGGUUUUUCGCGUUGCAUCGAAUUAAUCCACAUCAUCCACCGCUUGUGCGGGUCCCCGUCAAUUCCUUUGAGUUUUAAUCUUGCGACCGUACUCCCCAGGCGGCGAACUUCACGCGUUAGCUACGGUACUAAAGAAGUCUCCUUCCCCAACACCUAGUUCGCAUCGUUUAGGGCGUGGACUAC
rnacentral:misc_RNA from 1 species